rnacentral:rRNA from 1 species
CCUACGGGUGGCUGCAGUGAGGAAUAUUGGUCAAUGGACGGAAGUCUGAACCAGCCAUGCCGCGUGCAGGAAGACGGCUCGAUGAGUUGAAAACUGCUUUUGUAAAAGGGUAAACCUGAAUACGUGUACCCAGCUGAAAGUACUGUACGAAUAAGGAUCGGCUAACUCCGUGCCCGCAGCCGCGGUAAUACGGAGGAUACAAGCUUUAGCCGGAUUUAAUGGGUUGACAGGGUGCGUAGGCGGUUUGCUAAGUUAGAGGUGAAAUGUCCGCGCGUACCUCGGGAACUGCCUCUCAUACUGUUGACCUAGAGCGUAGCUGCGGUAGGCGGAAUGUCUGUUGUAGCUGUG